rnacentral:misc_RNA from 1 species
GAUGAAGAACGUAGCGAAAUGCGAUAAGUAAUGUGAAUUGCAGAAUUCAGUGAAUCAUCGAAUCUUUGAACGCACAUUGCGCCCCUUGGUAUUCCGAGGGGCAUGCCUGUUCGAGCGUCAUUUCAACCCCUCAAGCUUCGGCUUGGUGUUGGGCCGCGCCGCUGCACCAGCAGCUGGCGGGCCUCAAAAUCAGUGGCGGUGCCGUCUCGGCUCUAAGCGUAGUAACAUCUCUCGCUCUGGAGACCUGGCGGUGGCUUGCCAGACAACCCCCAACUUUCUUUAAGGUUUGACCUCGGAUCAGGUAGGGAUACCCGCUGAACUUAAGCAUAUCAAUAGCGGAGGA